UUAGAAGUCUCGGAACUAGAAUCUUUGACUCGCACCAAAUGAUAGAAACACCACUUGGAUAUUAUUUUUCUCGCUCUAAGGUAUGAAACAAGUUGGCCCUUAAACGUUGUGGUACUACCCCUCCAUUCUAGGAUAGGUUUAUUUCAGAACUGAAAAUAGACAAUUCAGUUUCUUCAAUCAACUGAGGCAUAUCAUGAAUGGAG
rnacentral:lncRNA from 1 species